CUGUUCGAGCGUCAUUACAACCCUCAAGCUCUGCUUGGUAUUAGGCAUCACCCGUAAGGGCGUGCUGUAAAAUCAGUGGCGGUGCCUUUUGGCUUCAAGCGUAGUAAUUUUUCUCGCUUUGGGACCAACUGUGUACCUGCUACACCCUAAUUUUAUCAAAGGUUGACCUCGGAUCAGGUAGGGAUACCCGCUGAACUUAA
rnacentral:misc_RNA from 1 species